GACCAGCUGCGCGGGGCCCAGGCGCGGCCCCCAGCGCGCCACGGCCAAGCCCACGGCCGCGCCGGCCGCCACUCCGGCCAAGAGCAAGGAGAAGGCUGGCUUCGGAGGUAGAACGUCGGAGUUCCCGUCUCCAAACGCCUGUGGCUUUAGGCAGCUGCUAACUUUUCGGAACCUUUCAGAACCUCCGUCAACCCACAAGCAUUCAUUAAGCACGUCCUGCGAGUCAGACUCCGUGUCGAGUCGUGGAGAUUGUUUUUCCUUCCUUCUAGAAGGCGACCUUGAGAGCGGGAGGUGAUACGGGAGCUGCAAGUGAAUUGGAUUUAAGCGAGGUGCAAAGUCACCUGCCUCGCUUUCCCCUCCAGGGCCAUCUGGGUCCAGUGGCCAGAGACGGAUCUGGACCCCUGGGGAUGGCCGCCGAUGCAUUGGGAGACCUGGGUCUUUUAGAACUCGGGACUCUGACAAGUCUCACUCUGAAUAAAGUCACUGCCCAUUCAGGGAUUGAGACGAGAUAAGAAAUGAGGCAGAAGAUGGCUUCUUUCACCAAUUAAAAAAAAAAAAAAAAAGAUCUGGGAGGGGAAGAGACCCUCGGGGUUUCUGGUCCAAACAGGAGAUGGAAGUAAAGGUAAAAGCAGGUCCUGUCUUCAAAGAGCUCAUAUUCUUUUUUCUUUUUAAAAUGAAUUUGAUUUUUAUUUUUGCUUUCAAAAUCACUUUAAUUUCCUCCUCCCCCUCUUCAAGAGAGCCAAAUAACAAGGAAUUUUUUUUUAAAAAAGAGAGGAAAAAGCUCCCCAACAAAGGAAUACCAGAAAACUUGUAAAUAUGAAAACGUGUCAUUGCUCACCAGUGGACACACCCCCACACCCUUUCACCAAGGAACGCUGGGAGGUGUCUCUUUAUAUCUCCAGUCUGAAGCCAUGCUGGGUUGUGAUUUGUUCUUGUUUUGUGGCACCUCCACUUGCUUAUUUAAGUUUUUGCAUAAUAAAUAAUAUCCAGUGUGUUUUUUUUAGUUGUUUCCCAAGACUCCAUUAUAAAAGUGGACCACAAUUUGUUCAGCUAUUCCCCAAUCCAUGGGGAUUAACUUUGUUUCCAAUUCUUUGCCCUCACCAGAAGUGCUGCUAUAAAUAUUUUAGUGUAUUGUGGGGACGUUCUUGUCAUCAAUUGCCUUUAGGAUAUAUGCCUAAUAAUAGUGGAACAUCUGAGUCAAAGGGUUUGGACUUUGAAAUUCCCUAAAUCGAAAAUGCUUUCCAAAACUAGUAACCACAGCUCCACCAAUAAUGCAUGAGUGUGCCUUUAAAAAAUAUAUAUAUAUGUAUGUAUAUAUAUAUAUAUAUAAAGUUUUUUAUUUUCAAAACACAUGGAUAGUCUCUAACAUUAACCCUUGUGAAACCCUGUGUUAACAUUUUUUUUCUCUGUCCCUUAUCUCUCCCCUAGAUGGCAAGCAAUCCAAUAUACGUUAAACAUGUGUAAUUCUUCUAUACAUAUUUCCACAAUUAUCAUGCCGCACAAGAAAAAUCAGGUGAAAAGGAGGAAAAUGAGAAAGAAAAUAAAAUGCAAGCAAACAACAGAAGUGAAAAGGCAAAUGUUCUGAUCCACACCCAGUCCCCACAGUCUCUCUGGGUGCAGAUGUCCCUUUCCAUCACAAGACCAACAGAACUGGACUGAAUCACCUCGCUGCUGAAAAGACUCACUAGCGACCACAGCUCCACCAACAAUGCAUCGGUGUGCUUGUCUUUUUCUUCAAAACACAUGUAUAGUCUUCAACCUUCACCAUUGCACUCUUGUUAGUGAUUUGGGGCAUUCUUUUACAGGGUGGCAAACAUUUCACAGUUCUUGUGAGAACCAUUUGUCCUUGUUUUUUCACCACUUAUUGAAGAAUGGCUAUUGGAUGGUUUUUCUGUGCAGAAUUGGACAUGUUUAACCUUCAGCUGCUUGCUGUCUAGGGAAGGGGGCAGGGAAGGAAGGGAGAACAAUUUAGAACCCAAGGUUUUGCAAGGGUGAAUGUUGAAAACUAUUCGCACGUAUUUUGAAAAUAAGCUACUUCAAAAAGGAUAGUGAAUCAUCUGAGAAAUAUGAUAUAUUUUUAUUUCUCACUAUUAGUAGGCACAGUGGAUAGAGCAGGUGCCCUGGAAUCAGGAGAACCUGAGUUCAAGUCCAGGUUCAGAUAUUUAACAAUUACUGGCUUUGUGACCCUGAGCAAAUCACUUAACCCUGAUUGCCUUUAAAAAAAAAAAAUACUUCAGCCUGUAAUUGUUGCUUCUCUUCCAUUUUUUUAAUGGUAUGACUUAUUUAAAUUGAGGACUCACAUUAACCUGAUGGCAUGGUGAAGAUCUUAUUAGAAUGGUAAGAGAGAUCUUUGCCUUUUUUUUUUUUUUUUUUUUUUGGUUGGUUUAAACUCUUGUAUCUCCUAGGAGAAAGAAAAAAAGCAAGAUACAGACAAUGCUUUCUAGGGGUUUACAAUCCUCAAAUUCCCAGGAGUAUGCAUUCUAGGUGAAUUUCUAAGCCUGGGAGCCUCCCGACAGCCACCUCAGAAAGGACCUGAGCAGGAGGCCCACAGACCCGGGAAUGAUGGGAAUCUGCAGAUGAGCAGGACAUAAAUACUCCCAAGUUUGUCUCUGUUGUAAAGCACAGCUAAAGGCUCCCUCACCCUCUCCCAGAAGGUGUCUGGCUUCAUCCCCACUCUCAAUUCUUUCCUCACUUCGAUUAGUCCCUCCAGACCACAUCAGAACAAACUAGGUACAAUCCUCAGCCCCAGGAGGAGAAUGGGCUUGGAUAUUUUUGUAUCCGUGUAUGUGUGCCACCCAUAGAGUAGGCGCUUAAUAGUAAAAGAAAAAAAAGUACUUAAUUAAAAAAUAGUCACUUAAUAAAAAGUACUUUAUAUAGUAUUUAAUAAAAAGUACUUAAUAAAAAGUAGGUAUUUAAUAAAAAUACUCAGUAAAAUAAUUUAAAAGUAGGCACUUAAUAAAUGUGGGCAUUGGUUGGUUUGUAUUCCAGCCUCAUUGUUUUUGCUGAGUUUUUUUCGGUCAUGUCAACCCUUUCUGACCUCAUUUGGAGUUGUUUUGGCAGAGACACUACAAUGAUUUACCAUUUCUUCUACCUCUUAGCUCCUUAAAAUCUUUCUGGCCCUGAAUUAUGAAUUUAUUUCUAGACUUGCAGAGGUACCUGGGAGGUUUUCACUUUCUGAAAAAUCAUAUACUUUGUGUCUGGAGGGCCUGAGCCUAAGGCUUUUUUAGCCAGUUGUUAAAUUUACUCUGGGCUUGAUUGAUUGAUUGUUCCAUUGAUUUCUAGCCUAAGAAAAAAAAUUAAUAAAUCAGAUUAAGCUUAAA